UUGAAAAGGGUGCUAAAGUAGACCUUCCAUUUUGGCUUGCGCAUGGAAUGUUGUCUCUGGAACAAGCGGUGUCAAUAAAUGUACCUCAUUGCUUCACCCAGAAGUAGGUUUCUUUGUAAAAAAAUGUAUUUGUGGAAAUUCUUGAGAGGGACACCAAUAUAUACUGGAUGCAGUACUAUGUAGUUAUCGUUCUCAUUACCUUCCUCUAUGCAAUCUUAAAUUCGUAAAUUCUCACUAAAAUGUUUCUAUACGAUCUUUGUUAGAAAUAGAUUGCCCACUCCACUGCUUUGCACAGCUUUGAUGAGCCUUAGACAUGUUAUAUUCUCAGUUACUACAAUAACUAGGUAAUUUUGUAGGCAUACAACACUACAAUGCAUUAUCCUUUCUACAUGUAUUCUGUUUUUGUACAAAUUUAAAUGCUUACAUGCCCAUAAAAAUGAUAAUUGUAGUCACAUAUUAAGUUCAAAUAGGAGGAACUUCUGUAAGUUCAAGUAGCUGUAAUCUUCGGGAGAAAAUGCAGUUAAUACUAUGAAC
rnacentral:lncRNA from 1 species